rnacentral:lncRNA from 1 species
GCCGGGGCGUCCCCCGCGGGAGCCCGCAGCCACCCGGGACGCGCAUCCAGACGUGGCGCUUCGGACCGGGCACGCUGCGCCCGGGGGCUCGGCGGACCCCGCGUAGCCGCCGCUUCGGAGCUUGUGCGGCGCGGGCUGGCCAGCGGGGCGGCCAGGGCCCGGCCCGCCUCCCCAGCGCCCGCCCGGCUUCUCCCCCUGGCGGUGGGAGCCUCGGCGGCCGCUGGCGACACUAGGCGCACUGAAGCCCGAGCCGAGCCGAGCCCGAGCCGCCGCCGCCGCCGCCGCUGCUGCGCACCGCUCCCGGGCUCCCUCCCAGCGCGCCGGCCGGGGUGUGGGGGGCGGCGGGCCGGAGGGGCGAGGGCGGGCCAGGGGGCGCACACGGGGGUUGGCGCGGAAGACAGGACCCUCAGCCUCGAGGGAGCCCCUAGGUGACCAGGCAAAAUGGCAGUUCCUUCCAGCUGGUCCUCAGAUGGGCACAUCUAUUAGCCUCUGCUCUUGUAAGAAGUUAGCUGCAGAACCCACAUGUGAAUCCUUGUAGGACUCUGGAGAAGAUCAAAUGGGAGCUUAGAUGUGGAAGCUCUUUGGAAACCAAGAAACACUCUGAAAAUGAAAAGGGUGGAAGAGUAAACUGUUCCUGUUUCUCCAUCUUGACAGGAAGCAGAAGUUCUCCUUAGCUGAUUUUUCUUCUUGCCUUAUACUGGGUUCUUUAACACCAGAACAAAAAUAAAUAAAUAAAAGAAUCUUCCAGAAAUUCAUGAAGAGACUUCA